AAUAACCCGGAGAUGAUAUCUGAGACACGAUAUCAGGCCCUACGGGGCGCAGCAGGCGCGAAAACUUCGCACUGCGCGAAAGCGCGAUGAGGGAAUCCCAAGUGUAUGCACGUUAGUGUAUACUGUUUCUUUGUCUAAAAAGCAUAGAGAGUAAGGGCUGGGUAAGACGGGUGCCAGCCGCCGCGGUAAUACCUGCAGCUCUAGUGGUGGCCGCUAUUAUUGGGCCUAAAACGUCCGUAGCCUGUUUAUUAAAUGCCUAGGUAAAUUGUGUGGCUUAACCAUACGAAUUCUGGGUAGACUGGUAAACUUGAGACCGGGAGAAGCUAGAGGUACUUCUGGGGUAGAGGUGAAAUUCUGUAAUCCUAGGGGGACCACCAGUGGCGAAAGCGUCUAGCUAGAACGGGUUUGACGGUGAGGGACGAAGCCCUGGGGCGCAAACGGGAUUAGAUACCCCGGUAGUCCAGGGUGUAAACGCUGCUUGCUUGAUGUUGGUUGGGCUCCGAGCCNNAUCAGUGUCGGAACACAAGUUCUG
rnacentral:rRNA from 1 species